rnacentral:misc_RNA from 1 species
AACAGAACCCCCAAGCGUUACCCGGAUUCAUUGGGCGUAAAGCGUCUGUAGCCGGUUUGGCAAGUCUUAGGUUAAAAAUCGAGGGCUCAACCUUCGGAAUGCCUAGGAAACUGCCAGACUAGAGGGUGUUAGGGGCUGAUGGAACUCUUGGUGGAGGGGUGAAAUCCGUUGAUAUCAAGAGGAACACCAAAAGCGAAGGCAUUCAGCUGGGGCAACCCUGACGGUGAGAGACGAAAGCGUGGGGAGCAAAAAGG